rnacentral:snRNA from 1 species
GGAUGUGAGAGCAGUUUGGCUGCGACAUCCAUCACCCCAUUGAUCGCCAAGGUUGAUUCAGCUGACCUGGCUGGCUAUGUGGGUGUCCCCUUCCUCCCUCACCACUCCAUGAAAAGAAGAAAUAUUUUUUCUUUAUUUUAGAUAA